rnacentral:rRNA from 2 species
UACGUAGGGGGCAAGCGUUAUCCGGAUUUACUGGGUGUAAAGGGAGCGUAGACGGCACAGCAAGUCUGAAGUGAAAUCCCCGGGCUCAACCCGGGAACUGCUUUGGAAACUGUUGGGCUGGAGUGCUGGAGAGGCAAGCGGAAUUCCUAGUGUAGCGGUGAAAUGCGUAGAUAUUAGGAGGAACACCAGUGGCGAAGGCGGCUUGCUGGACAGUAACUGACGUUGAGGCUCGAAAGCGUGGGGAGCAAACAGG